CAGUGAAGCACCAGCUCCCAUGUGAUCACCUAAGUUGAGCAACAUAGAGCCUGGUCAGUACCUAGGUCGGUGACUGCUUGGGAAUGUAAGUGCUGUAAG